AAACUUCCCUCGACUAUCUUUCGUCUCCAUCAUCAGACUGUAAUGGCACUUGUAACUCAUAUAGGUGCAAAGUUCUCAUCAAUAGAAACGAAUUAAGUUCAAAUAGCAGGUAAUUGCUAUAAGUCGUUGAAGAGUUCCCUCGACUAUCUUUCGUCUUCAUCAUCAGAUUAAAAUGGUACUUAUAACUCAUAUAUAUGCAA
rnacentral:misc_RNA from 1 species